rnacentral:lncRNA from 1 species
GUCUGAUACAUGCUGACAGUGUUGAGAUAAUUGUCCACAGUCAAUUUUAAGAAGAUUGAAUCUGCAAUUAACAAAUAGCAGUAAUUCUCUAAUCAAUUUCUUGCUUCGUGUAGUCACCAGUUAUAAAGGUAAACUUUUUAAGUUAUUGUUUACAGUUUAUACUUCCUAUAAUAAACACAUUAAACACCUAAAUUCUUAGGUCACUAAAUCGAAUUUCAAGCCAGAAUAGUGAACCACUAAUAGUUUCACCAGAAAACAGAUCCUACGCCUGAUGACAUCAAGGAAAAUAGUAAUGAUGUGCAGAUCAUUGAGUACGGUUGCCAUUUUAGUCAACACAAAUUUCAAAUGCAUCAUGAGUUUAGUGUGAG